UUAGGUUGAGUACGGGAAGGGAAGGGGGGCAAAAUGGGCCCCUUAAGAAAAAAAUGUUGAUAUCCUUAGUGUUUUUCUCUGGUUUCACUUUUUUUUAGUCCCUUGCCAAGUAU